rnacentral:rRNA from 1 species
AUUGAACGCUGGCGGCAUGCUUUACACAUGCAAGUCGAACGGCAGCACGGGCUUCGGCCUGGUGGCGAGUGGCGAACGGGUGAGUAAUAUAUCGGAACGUACCCAGAAGUGGGGGAUAACGUAGCGAAAGUUACGCUAAUACCGCAUACGAUCUAUGGAUGAAAGCAGGGGACCGCAAGGCCUUGUGCUCCUGGAGCGGCCGAUAUCUGAUUAGCUAGUUGGUGAGGUAAAGGCUCACCAAGGCGACGAUCAGUAGCUGGUCUGAGAGGACGACCAGCCACACUGGAACUGAGACACGGUCCAGACUCCUACGGGAGGCAGCAGUGGGGAAUUUUGGACAAUGGGCGCAAGCCUGAUCCAGCAAUGCCACGUGAGUGAAGAAGGCCUUCGGGUUGUAAAGCUCUUUUGUCAGGGAAGAAACGGUAGAGGCUAAUAUCCUUUGCUAAUGACGGUACCUGAAGAAUAAGCACCGGCUAACUACGUA